UCUAACUACUUUUUUUUGGCUUCCCAUAAAUCAAAGUUCCUACAUAGCUGAACUUUCCAUCAUGCUACACGUCAUGGAUAGCAAAAUAGACAGAAAUUGAAUGCAAACUGGUUGGUGCUUUAGCACAAUCUAUUCAAUUUGGUUCAACCAAGCAAGAUCUUUACCAAGAUAUUUUCACUUAAAUAUUGCCAAAAUUUUCAUCUGAUAUCUCUUCUUUGGGUUGCCCUAUUGUCAUAGCCAAAAUGCAGUUCACAUUUAUGUUCCAAUGCUCGUGUGCUG